rnacentral:rRNA from 2 species
CACAUGACUCUCGGCAACGGAUAUCUCGGCUCUCGCAUCGAUGAAGAACGUAGCAAAAUGCGAUACCUGGUGUGAAUUGCAGAAUCCCGUGAACCAUCGAGUUUUUGAACGCAAGUUGCGCCCGAGACCUUCUGGUCGAGGGCACGUCUGCCUGGGCGUCACGC